GGAUGUGAGGGCGAUCUGGCUGCGAUAUCUGUCACCCCAUUGAUCGCCAGGGUUGAUUCGGCUGAUCUGGCUGGCUAGGAGGGUGUCCCUUUCCUCCUUCAUGUCUCCAUGUGCAUCCCUCCUGAAGCUGUGCACUUGGAGGAAGAGGAAGACCAUCCCAGAUAGGAGGAGAGUACCGUUCUUUGGUCAAGGGUAUAUGAUAGCUGUGCUCCCUUGCUAGAACCUCCAGACAUUAUUAGGUCCAGUAACAGUGCAGCCAGAAUACACAUGGGGAUAGAGUUGCUAUCUGGGCCCCCCACAUGGGUUGCUUCCUGCAUCCAUAUUUCUGU